UCCGUGUUAGCCACGGCAGUCUCACAUGAAAAACAACAUGCAAUGAGGGUUGCGCUCGUUCCGCCACUUAAGGAAACAUCUCACGACACGAGCUGACGACAACCAUGCAGCACCUGUCUAGCAAUCUCGAAGACGUCUACAUCUCUGUAGACCACAGCUAGAUUUCAAGCCCUGGUAAGGUUCCUCGCUUAGCAUCGAAUUAAACCACACGCUCCACCGCUUGUGCGGGCUCCCGUCUAUUCCUUUGAGUUUUAAGCUUGCGCUCGUACUACCCAGGCGGCCGACUUAACGCGUUAGCUUCGACACUGAGAGGGUCGAUACUCCCAAUGCCUAGUCGGCAACGUUUACGGCGUGGACUA
rnacentral:misc_RNA from 1 species